CUUCACCCAGACAUAGUGGAUUGAUAAUUAUAGUUGACGAUGAUGACUAUGGCGAUUAUGAGUGUGCUUAAAUAUUGCUUUCCACAAAUUCAGUGCAAAAUGUACAAGACUGAAAUAUGUCCAGGGAGCUAGAGCAAUGAUGCAAUACAGUACUGCUGGUACAGAUGCCAAUCAUGUGUGCAGUGUAAUAGUCCAACAACCUCACAUACAGUAUUAAUGAUCAAUACUUGAUGGGUAUUGGUGCACGUCUCUAGUCCAUGGGCUUAAACUGUGGGGUUUGUGUACACUUAGCAAAGGAGUGUGUUUAAAAUACCCACAUGACAAAAUUUAAGUCCCUAUAGAUGUUAGUACAGCAAGUACGUGCAUUAGCUGUGUGGAGUUGGAGUGCUUUACUCUCACACAUUUCAAUGUUAUCCGUGCAUUUAUGUUUCCUCCAAACAUCCCAAAACAGUACUCUGCUCAACCACAGUGUUGAGAUUCGUAGAUCUGUGUUAACAAAGCCGGCAUUACAGUACUAUACAUUAAAAAAAACGUUUCUGCGAAUGCCCGUGAUGGAAUGCCCUUUUCAUAUCUGAAAAUCAUCUGAGCGAGGAAAAAUAUUUACCGCCGGUAAGUACUGGGCGCAAACAUGUCCGACAUGGAAAGCAGCAGGAUGGGCUGGGUGUCCCUGGGGGAGCCGAGUGGGGACCGGUGGAACAGAACAUUCAGCUGCUGCGGAGUUCGUUUGAAAGGGAGAUUUUUUUUUAUAAAAAAAACACACACACAUGGUUUGUUACACCAUGGGUGUUUGCAAAGAGGAUGACUGUUACAGUAAACUUCUGUGGUCGCGACCAUCCGUGAACGUGUGAUAUUUAACAACAAAAACGCAUCAUGGAUGCUUUCCUUCAAAGGAAUCCAACACGAGCCGAAUGCGUGCCCACGCUAUCUCUGUCUCUUUUUGCGUUGCAUCUCAAGUAUGUACGCGCAUGCUGAACUGCGACUGAACGCUGGCUCGCUGUGUCAAAUCAAAGCGUCUCUCCGCUUCUUUCGGUCACCGUGAGCCAAUCACAAGGGCAGCCGUAGUGCAGUGUGGUUAGCACACUGCGCUGUGAAUCGGAUGACCUGAACUGAAUUCGCGGCCACGGGUGAAAUCAAUAUCUGAGUGAAAUAUAAGCCAGCCCUGUCCGACUCCCUUCACCAGCUCGGAAUCUCCAGCGUGGUGACGAAGGCUCAAACAACCAGUGGAUUCACAAAUGGCUCUAAAUUAUUAUCAAUUUUGCGAACCAAAAACAAUUCCAAGGUAUAGUUUUUGUGCCGGAAAAGGUGAUGACAAAUUACGUUUGAGACCGCCAGGGUAUAAUUUGCAUUGCUUCACCCCCUUGGAUGGAUGUUAUUAUAGUCAAUCAUGCUGGAAAGUAGUUAUGCUGGGACACAUUAAGCCAGAGAAUAACAACAUUCAGUGUGAGUUUCUUCAAAUGGAGACUGUCACAUCCCCUGCGGUUCAUUUGACAACAGCUACACUCCAAGACAUGUGUUGGAAUGGCUUGCACGUAUUCAAUCGCAGCCAUCUUUAUCACAAACAUUGUCCCGCAUUGACUGUUGACAACUUUAAUUUCUGUAUUAAUAUUAAUUGACUCUUAUUUCACUCGAAACAUUUGAAUGGAAUUUGUAAGCCCCUUAUGAACUGGCAGCAAUCCGCACAAAGGGCAAAUGUUAUCAUGUAAAAAAACAUUGUGAAAGAACGUUUGCUUAAAGAAUAGUCUUUAAGGCGAUUUGUCCAAGAGGAGUGCUUUGGCAGACAGCAGUUCCAUGAGUGUGGCCAAAUAAAUAGUCGCCCCUAAGGUGCCUUGUGGGCUACGCAAGCAAACCUGCACUGGUGGCAUCUACCAGAUUAUAAUGACAAAAGUAUAUGUAGAAAAGCUAUAAAGUCCACAAGUGGAAUGGAAUGCGAUUGACACUCAUGACUUUAGUUUGUGUUCCAUUCGGUUGUGUCACGUUCGAUCCGUUUUUAUUGACGUUUGUUUGUUUUGAUAGACCAUGGUGACAAUUUUUUAAUGAACUGCAGCAAACAUGAGAAAAGGGCACACCCAAGUGAAUUUCAAUAUGUGCCCUGCAUUGUUGUACACACACAUCUAUAUUGUGUGUCUUCAGCACACACUGAUGGAGCACCGAAAACUGGACAAGGCACGGAGUUGUAACCAACGAUCUCAAAAGUCAUUGGUUGUGCAGUGAGUGAGCUACCCUCUUACAGUUUGGCCCCAGGCGUAAGAAGGGGAUAAAAGCAUGAGCUCACCAUUUUUUACGCAGUGCCAAGCCCUGAAAACCUGUCUGCCUGGCUCCCAGCGUUGAGCUAUUAAACUCAUUACACCCUUACAGAGAGUAAGCUGUAAAUCCACUGCUAUUGUCUCGUGUGCUAUGAUUCCGGAUUUUUGGGGACAAGCCUAAAGUUUUGCACCAACCUAAGUCUCUGAACCGUGGCGUACCAAUGGGCAAUGCCUAGAGCAAAAGGAGCUGAAAAAGGCUUCCAGCACGUGGAGAAAAGCGUCGGACAUUAUGCCGAACAACACGCGGUACAAUCCGACAAACACUCAUCGGAGACGCAUACAGAACCCAAGACGAACAUGCCUGGUACAUAUAUGCACGGAAACAAGAAGACACUUGUCAUGGGAGGCAAAAACAAACAUAACACUUAACACAAUCAUCAAGCAAUCGGCACGGAUGGGGGCCAUCAUAUUCACGAUCUUUAAGGCACAACUUCCACGUUCCGAGGACGAGAGAAGACGGGAGAAGCGGUGGGACCAAAUAAUGCACGCGAAGCAAAUUAGACAACGCGCAUUGUUUGACUGACUUUGAAAAGUCCACACCCCGCAAGACAUCUGGUGACGUGAGUGACUCAGCUCGGUAUGUGUAAUCCCCACUGUCGAUUAAGCACGCGUUAUCUCUCUAGGUAUGUGCACAAUACUGUAUAGCUCGUCAACAACAGCUUCCCCUUCCCCAUUGUCUCUCUCUCUCUCGCUCUGUGUGUGCGUGAAUGUGUGUAUUUAUUAAUCUACGAGACACCGUGUUUGUAAUUUGCCUGAGUCACCGUUUGCCCGGUAAUGCCGGGUACGUUAUUAAUAGAGGUGUGGUGGAGUGCGUGAAGUCAAGAGUCCCGUGUUUUGGCGGACGGGUACACAUUGAGUAAUGUUAUGGGUUUGAUGGAAGUGAAAUUCGCGGUAUGAGAGGUGUAAUCAUAAAAGUGUAAGCAAGAAAGAGUGAAGAGACAUAAUAAUAUGGAUACGUGCUGUUUAAGUGGCUCGAAAAGUACGCUGCCACCAACCCGUAAUGUAUCCCAAUGGUGCUGCGGAUACAUUGUUUCGUAAAAACAUAAAACGAAGUAUCCAUUCAGAACUGUUACAGCGCAUGGAGACAGUUUUCACAUGGCUUCUUCUGAGACCACUUCAACUGACCUUUUAUCCACAUACUAGGAUGCGUAUUUCCCCAAUUGCCCUGCUGCAGAGAGACGUUUUUUCACGUCGAAAUUUAUGCACAAACCAAUAUUAAAUGCUACGUGUGUUUUUUUUUAAUGUACAUUAGUUGUUUGUGACCAGGCCAUGACCAUUAACUCACUAUACCAUGGUCGGUUUGCUUGGUUUAAUUAUGCGUGGCUGAAUUCCUUGUUAAAUCCCAGGUCAUCAGCGCUAGCAGUCCAGCUCUCUCUGCCUCUUGAGCCAACAUGUCCCCGUCAUCACAGUCGCUCCACUUUUGACCUGCCUCCUUUCUGCUGUCUCUGCAUGCAUCCUCAUACAACCCGACAUGUCCCAAAAAAAAAAGACUCAUGGUGUCUUAUUUGCUAUACCCUUACCCUAGUCCCGGUGCUGUCUGCUGUGUGUUACGCACCCCUGCUUAGAAAGUGUAUACCUGUUCACGUGUGGUAAUAAUAUACGGCGGUUGUCAAUCCACUGCUGGAUGAAGGACUUGUACUCUGUCGAUAAGCUACAAUAACAUACUUGUCA